CGUUAGCGGCGGACGGGUGAGUAACGCGUGGGCAACCUGCCUUACACAGGGGGAGUAACAAUUAGAAAUGAUUGCUAAUACCGCAUAAGACCCCAGUACCGCAUGGUACAGAGGUAAAAACUGAGGUGGUGUAAGAUGGGCCCGCGUCUGAUUAGGUAGUUGGUGGGGUAGAAGCCUACCAAGCCGACGAUCAGUAGCCGACCUGAGAGGGCGACCGGCCACAUUGGGACUGAGACACGGCCCAAACUCCUACGGGAGGCAGCAG
rnacentral:rRNA from 1 species